AUGGAAGUGGACGAGCUGCUCAAGAAGAUACGGCUGCUGGAGGAAGGGCAGGCCGAGCUCAAGCGGGAGAUAGGCAAGCUCAUGCUGGACCGCCGCGACGCGCAGUCCGUGGCCCGGGGCCGCGCUUCCCACGCGCUGCUGCCGCAGCCCUCGUCGUCGCGGAACGUCGUCGCCCACGGCAGGUUCUCCGACAGGCACUGCCACUGGAUACUGCAGUCGCUGGGGCUGGCUGUGCACAUCAUUGCCCCCGACGGGACGCUCCUGUACUGGAACCGGUAUGCUGAGCAUAUGUAUGGCUAUUCUGCAUCAGAAGCAGUUGGUCGGAAUGCCGUUGAAUUAAUUGUUCAUCCUAGUGACUUUGAUGCAGCAAACGACCUCAUCCAGACUAUAUUUACAGGGAAGUGUUGGAGAGGGAAGUUUCCUGUUAAGAAAAAGUCAGGAGAGAGGUUUUUUAUGUUUAUCCAUAACACCCCUUUAUACGAUGACGAUGGUAGCUUGGUGGGCCUCAUUGGUCUGUCGCAUGAUAUACGGGCAUUAGAGGACAUAUUUAGUCCCUCAGGCUCUGCGGAAUCCUAUCCAAUUCCGAGUACAGCAAAGCCCAAGUUCCAUGCUAACAACCAGCCUAAAAGUGGUUCGCUGAACAUAGGUUGCCUUCACUCCCAGUCCCAGCAAUCUCUUCAAUCUGCUACUACCUCCAAGAUAGUAACUUUGGUUACCAGUGUUACAACUAGAGUUCGUUCUCGGAUAAGGACAGGUCAGAAUAGCGAUAAACAGUAUGGUAAGGGCCAGUACUCUGAACUUGACCUGCAGGCUGAGCUGGCAUCAAGUGAAGAAAACACCCCUAGUGGGGAUGUAGCGCAUCGUGCCUUUGUCGCCGAAGAAAAAUCCCCUGGCAAAUCGUGCAAAACAAGUAAUUAUGAUUCAGGAGAGCGAAAAGUAUGGUUUCACAAGAUUUUUAAUUCAAAGGCUGAUGCAUUAUUGGCCAAGAAGGGCAUAUCAUGGCCUUGGAAACGACAUGAAGUUGAUGGGGAUUCUGGAAAGAAUAACAUGAACUCAACACAGUUACAUGAUAAGCAAGAGAAUGAAGAGAGUCAUCAGAGAGUUACAGUUCUAGAGCCUAUCAUAAUUCCAGACUGCCAAAACAGCGAAUACACAUGGGCUAGCAAAUAUGAGGUCUCAGGUUCCUGGUGGGAUUUCAACAAGAACAGCAUGAGUAGCAUUAGCAGCACUACAGGGACUACUAACAGCAGCGAUAUUGAGAUGGUAGAUUAUGAAGCAGACUGCUUAGAUUAUGAGAUUCUCUGGGAAGACCUAGUAAUUGGAGAACAAGUAGGUCAAGGUUGUUGCGGAACAGUGUAUCAUGCUCUGUGGCGUGGCUCGGACGUGGCAGCUAAAGUAUUCUCCAAGCAGGACUAUUCAGAAGAAAUGAUAAAUACCUUCAGACAAGAGGUCUCAUUGAUGAAGAAACUACGACAUCCCAAUAUAAUACUUUUCAUGGGUGCAGUUCUGUCGCAGCAACGACUUUGUAUUGUUACUGAAUUUCUCCCACGGGGGAGUUUGUUUCGGUUGCUCCGAACUAACAUUGGCAAGCUGGAUCCAAGACGGAGAGUUAACAUGGCUAUAGACAUUGCAAGUGGCAUGAACUAUCUUCACAAUUCCAUCCCCACUGUUGUGCACCGCGAUUUGAAAUCGCCAAACCUGUUGGUUGAUAAGAAUUGGACUGUAAAGGUUGCAGACUUUGGUCUUUCACGUCUGAAACUCGAAACAUUUCUGACAACAAAAACUGGAAAAGGAACACCACAGUGGAUGGCUCCAGAGGUGCUACGGAGUGAACCUUCAAAUGAAAAGUCUGAUGUAUUCAGUUAUGGAGUGGUCCUGUGGGAGCUUGUUACUCAGAGGAUUCCCUGGGAUACUCACAAUACAAUGCAGGUCAUCGGAGCCGUAGGCUUUAUGGAUUACAGACUGGAAAUUCCAACGGAUGUGGAUCCUCAGUGGGCAUCGAUGAUCCAGAAUUGUUGGGACAGUGACCCACAACGCCGCCCUUCGUUCCAAGAACUCCUUGAGAGGCUCCGGAAGCUGCAAAAGCAGUACAAUGUUCAGGCGCAGACCGAGCGUAAAGAGGCUGGGAAAGUUGCUGGAAAUAUACAAAGCUAG
rnacentral:rRNA from 1 species